CUUCUCCGGCUCCCGCCGCCUCUCUGAGGCGGGGCGCGGCGGCGGUGGGCGCCCCGCGGGUCGCCCCGCAACGGGAGCCCCUCGCUGCCUGACGGCGGGUGUUUAAGGAAGAGAGAGUUAAUGCAGGGCACGUGGGGAGCGUGCUGCCCCUGUCACACAGCCCAGGCCGGCCACCGUCAGUUUGAGGACUGCAGUGUGUGCUUGCUAUGGAUGAGGAAAAGGAAAAAAAUUACUUUAAUUUGAAGUCAGACUCUGGCAUGCUCAAAUACCAUAUGCCUGCACUAUUGAGAGACUGGAGCAGAGUAUCUGGAGAGAGAUGAGAGAGUGUGGGUGGCAAUAGAAAAAACAACCACGACUGUAAGUUAGCAAGAUAAUAUCCUUACUUUCUUCUGUGGGUCUCAAGAGUGAUUAAAAAAAACAUUGGUGUUUUAAAAAUAUUGCUGAAGACUACAGUGUGACUCAGAGUGCUUCAGAGAAUGGAAUUCUUGGAAGUUUCACUGUAAUGCCAGAUCGUAGAACGGAGGGCAGCAGAGCUGCAGAGAAGUAACACAAGGUUAUGUUGACGGAGAAAGAACAUCUCCGAGGGAAUGCAGGCGGGAGAGAAAGAAAGAGAAGAGAAUGAGCCCGGGAAGAGAUGGCAAGACAAUUACUUGCACUGAGAACUGCUGCUUGCAUUGGUGGUGAAGGCACCGCCAGAAAUAUGGAAACUCCAGGUUCAAAUCCAUGAAAUUGGCCUGGGUAUGUACCAGAAUCUCCUGCGCUUGGUGGGCAUCCUAACUAUCUGACUUUUCUGGAGUGACUGGAUUCUUACUAUUAUCUGAGGGGGGGAAUUGUUUAUACUGGUAGCCUAAAAAUUGAAAUCACCAAUUUUUGGAAAAUAGGUAAUGACCUAGCCUAUCCUAUAAACUAUGCCUAUCGUUUGUGCACAUUGUAAAAUAAAAUAAGUUGAU